CGGCGUGCUUAACACAUGCAAGUCGAGCGAUGAAGCUCUUCGGAAGUGGAUAGCGGCGGACGGGUGAGUAACACGUGGGUAACCUGCCUCAUAGAGGGGAAUAGCCUUCCGAAAGGAAGAUUAAUACCGCAUAAGAUUGUAAUAUCGCAUGAUAUAGCAAUUAAAGGAGUAAUCCGCUAUGAGAUGGACCCGCGUCGCAUUAGCUAGUUGGUGAGGUAACGGCUCACCAAGGCGACGAUGCGUAGCCGACCUGAGAGGGUGAUCGGCCACAUUGGGACUGAGACACGGCCCAGACUCCUACGGGAGGCAGCAGUGGGGAAUAUUGCACAAUGGGGGAAACCCUGAUGCAGCAAACCGCCGCGUGAGUGAUGACGGUCUUCGGAUUGUAAAGCUCUGUCUUCAGGGACGAUAAUGACGGUACCUGAGGAGGAAGCCACGGCUAACUACGUGCCAGCAGCUGC
rnacentral:rRNA from 1 species